rnacentral:misc_RNA from 1 species
UAGCCCCUCCCCUUCAAUCGUCAGCAGUUUCAACGGAGGUUAGGGUUGAUAAGUUCAUUUAGCUAUGGUGCUUCCCUUCGAUUGUUUGUUCACGUUCUGAGUUAAAUUCACAUUCCAUGUGAUGCAGUUUCAUUAGUUCUACGCCGUUGAAAGUGAUCAUCAUUCAAGCAAAGAGUCAGAAUUCCAAGGCAGUUCCGGUGGCUUAAAAUGUUCAACUGGAAGCGAACGUGUCUCGCCCAAAGUCAUUGGAACUCAAAAAUAUAAUAAUCCAGGAAGAGACUGCUAAUGCGAUUCGACUGCAUGAUGAAUCACAGCAGCAAGAUGUGCGUCUAAAUUCCCCUGAAAAACGUGCGACUAGCCAUAUCCUUUUUGGAACAAGUUCGAUCCUGAACUUGUUCUGUGUCUUUCUCGACGAACUGAAUAGAACUCUGUUUUUCUACUUCAACACCUUUUGGAAGUUUCGUGGUCAGUACGUUGAACGGGCAGAUGAACAGCCUUCACCAAAGUCUGGUGCUCGUUGAAAGACUGGCAGACACGCUUGGGACGACGACUUUAGCGAUAAUCAUCGAAGAUGUUCUGGAAAGAGACUCCUGAAAGACUUUCGGAGCUGUGGAAAGAUUAAGCUGAAGAAAAACUGGCGACAAGUUUGGUGGAGCUUUAACGAGAUUUGCUCAAUCCAAAGAAAUAUUCGUGAAUAUUUUGACCAACCAACUUCGCAAGAUAAAUAGCUUUAGACCGGGAUUGCACAACCAACGUUCAUCGAUUCUUCUUCUAAUUAAAAUGCAGUUGACGACGAUUUGGUUUCAUUUGGCGUUCGAAAUACUUUACGCCUUCCAUUAUCUGAAUCACGUAAAAGGGAAUUUAAAAUAGAAAGAAAUACAAAG